ACAAAGAAGAGAGUUCAGGCUCCCACAGUAUGACUGGCGACAUUAGCUAGUGCUCGCUCUACUCUCUCUAACAGGGAAACAGUGGACUACAAGAGACUGAGCUGUAUCUGCCUCUAUUUCCAACAGACUCACGUUCAACUUUCACUUACCCACACACACAAAGCCGGGAAAAUUUUAUUAAUCCUUUUUUUUUAAAAAAAGUUAAUAUAAAAUUAUAGCAAAAAAAAAAAAAAGGAACCUGAUCUUUAGUAACACAGCUGGAACAAUCUGCAGUGGCGGCGGCGGUGGCGGUGGCGGUGGCAGCGGCAGGAGAAGAGAUUUAAUUUACUUGAUUUUCUGUGGUUGUUGGUUGUUCGCUAGUCUCACGGUGAUGGAAGCUGCACAUUUUUUCGAAGUGACUGAGAAACUGCUGGAGGUUUGGUUCUCCAGGCAGCAACCCGACACAAACCAAGGAUCUGGGGAUCUUCACACCAUCCCAAGUGUUUAAGAAUUUGCCUUGCAAUGCAAAGGACACUGGCUCAAUCCCUGGCCUGGGGAGAUCCCGCAUGCCACAGGGCAGCUGAGCCCAUGUACCGAAACUACUGAAGCCCACUCACCAUAGAGCCUGUGCCCCGCAACAAGACAAGUCACCACAGUGAGAAGCCCCCUGCUUACCACAACUAAAGAAAGCCUGUACACAGCAGUGAAGACCCAGCACAGCCAAAAAUAAAUAAUUAUUAAAAAAUCCGAGUGGGACAUACUUUUGAAGGAUGUGCAAUGUUCAAUCAUAAGUGUGACAAAAACUGACAAGCAGGAAGCUUAUGUACUCAGUGAGAGUAGCAUGUUUGUUUCCAAGAGACGUUUCAUUUUGAAGACAUGUGGUACCACCUUCUUGCUGAAAGCACUGGUUCCCCUGUUGAAACUUGCUAGGGAUUACAGUGGGUUUGACUCAAUUCAAAGCUUCUUUUAUUCUCAUAAGAAUUUCAUGAAGCCUUCUCACCAAGGGUACCCACAGUGGAAUUUCCAGGAAGAAAUAAAGUUCCUUAAUGCAAUUUUCCCAAAUGGAGCAGCAUAUUGUAUGGGACACAUGAAUUCUGACUGUUGGUACUUGUAUACUUUGGAAUUCCCAGAGAGUAGGGUAAUCAAUCAGCCAGAUCAAACCCUGGAAAUUCUGAUGAGUGAGCUUGACCCAGCAGUUAUGGACAAGUUCUACAUGAAAGAUGGUGUUACUGCAAAGGAUGUCACUCGUGAGAGUGGAAUUCGUGACCUGAUACCAGGUUCUGUCAUUGAUGCCACAAUGUUCAAUCCUUGUGGGUAUUCAAUGAAUGGGAUGAAAUCGGAUGGAACUUACUGGACUAUUCACAUCACUCCAGAACCAGAAUUUUCUUAUGUUAGCUUUGAAAAAAACUUAAGUCAGACCUCCUAUGCUGACCUGAUCAGGAAAGUUGUGGAAGUCUUCAAGCCAGGAAAAUUUGUGACCACCCUGUUUGUAAAUCAGAGUUCUAAAUGUCGCACAGUGCUUUCCUCGCCCCAGAAUAUUGAAGGUUUUAAACGUCUUGAUUGCCAGAAUGCUUUGUUCAAUGAUUACAAUUUUGUUUUUACCAGUUUUGCUAAGAAGCAGCAACAACAGCAGAGUUGAUUAAGAAACAUGAAGAAAAAACACAAAAAGAGAACACACAUAGAAGGUGGUGGCUGCUUUUUAGAUAUUGAUACCAAGGGCCAUGCUUUCCAUAACCACCACCUUGUAGUUGCAGAAAGCCCUAGAUGUAAUGAUAGUGUAAUCAUUUUGAAUUGUAUGCAUUAUUAUAUCAAGGAAUUAGAUAUCUUGCAUGAAUGCUCUCUUUUGUGUUUAGGUAUCCUAUGCCACUGUUGGUGUGAAAUUGAAGUGCAUGUAGAAAAAUCCUUUUACUAUAUGAAACUUUACAACACUUGUGAAAACAAUUCAAUUUGGUUUAUGCACAGUGCAAUAU